CUCAUAUUAUUAACUUGACCAUUCUUCGCGAAUGACGAGCCAAUUUAUACACGCUUAAUUUAUACUUUCUCUAACACACUCUUCGUAAAUCCUGCAUUUUAGACCUAAGUUGUACCAUAAUACGCAUAAUACGCAAUAAUUUCCCACGAUCACGUUACCGGAGGUGCUGAGGUAUUUUAGCAAACAUCUAACUCAAACAUGACACGCCUGCUAAACACGAGAAUUAUUACGACUAAUAAAUCUAGCUAAUCUAAUUUGAUUAACCGAAAUAAUAAAUUGGCUUACCAAUACUGAUUUGAUUCGAUAUCCACGAGGGUGAUGAUGGUUUUCCAGUUUAGAUAUUUGGUUGAGUUCCAAGAGAGCGCUUACAGGCCUCGCCUCUCUCGAAUAUCAGGGAUUUAUCAUCCAAAGCAAGUCCGACUUCAAGCUUCGAGAACGUCGACAGUCUCCAAAUAAAAUCUUUGAUCGAAUCUUUGGCGAGCAUUAAACUAAGCUUCACUUCGAUGACAACUAGAUUGAUAUCGGGACUCGACGACAGCACAACACCGCCACGAGAUGGAGGUAAACUGACUACGACGGCUUAGGACAUGUGAGGAGGCUGACAGCAGAUGACUUCGCCAUGGGUAACAGGACACGACCGAUAAGCUGAAGUAGGAGCACGACCAUGGCGAGCAGAGGAUCCACUCGCGUGGUCCUGUGCACGCGGCUGGGCGAGCAGGGCGUGGCCGACGCGCAGGGAGCAGGGCGCUCAGCGCGCGGCAGAGAAGAGGGAAGUAGGGCGCGGCACCAGGAACGAGCUGAGGAAGAAAGUGAGAGAUUGAGCGCGCCGUGGGGAAAGGAAGCAGGGCACGGCGCGUGCGCAGGAUGGCGCGCGCGGGGAGGAGACCUCGGCUGGAGAGAGCGCGCAGCUGAGCAGGCAGCUGGGCGCGAGCAGGAAGAAGACGCACGAGAGGGAGAGAGCUGGGGUACAGGGAGACGAGCGGCCGAACUGGAGCAGAGCAGGCUCCAUGGCCGAGGGCCAGGGCCGCUGGGCGAGAUCCGAGCCGGGGAGGAGCGCCGCGAGAGCUUUCCGGCGAGGUCGCGGCCAGGUAUGGAGUUCCAUGGCGCGGACUACUCCGCGCGCUGGAGGAAAGUUCCGGCCAGGUGCGGCCAUGGGGAGCUCGGGGCGCCGUACAGGGGCAGAGCGAGCUCGCUAGGGAGGAGAGGGGCUGGGCGACCGGGCGUCGAGCCAGAGGGGCGCGGCUAUGGCAAGGGAGAAGCGCCAGGGAGAACCUCAGCUGCCAUGGGAGCAGGGGAGCUCGCGGCUGGGCACUCGGCGAUAGAGCAGGCGCGGCUGGGGGUUGAAGAGAGGAAAAGCUGGGCGACGGAAUCCUCGCUGCCGGCCUGCCGCGCGCGUAGAUAUGGAUCAGGGGCUCAGGGCAUGGGCGACGGGAUUUUUCAUCCCAGAGCGGCGGCAGGAAAUAUCAAG
rnacentral:misc_RNA from 1 species